UUCACCCAGGCAAGCAGUUUCGCAUGUGCUGAUAAGACAGCCGAACAUAGGGGUUAAAGCUGUGAUGCAGCCAUUUUCUGCUCAGCUCAGCAAACUGCUCUCAUCUUUUGUAAAAGGGGCAGCAUUAGCCUAGGCUAUUUUCUGGGUAGGCUACUCUACACGCUACAUUCUUUGAAAAACCGACUGGCUUCUGGGCAGGGGUGCAAAACGCCUCGCGCGCACACCGGCUGUCUUCAAGGCUGAAUGAAAACAAAACCCGCGCGAGAGUUUCCACACGCAACUUUAAAGACGUUGACGUCAUGCACCUCUCUCACACUGUGCGCAAGAUGGGAGGAAAUCGCACGUCACUCCUCCUCUGACCCACCCGCUCUCACCGCCCACCCCCUUUUGGUACACCGUUACUCACAUGUCACCGCUCCCCCACCCCCCCGCCCCCCCAAACUGCGGCAACGACCUCAUUCAGCCCACAUCGACAUUUCAACAAAGCGCUGUUGAUUGACGUUUUGCAGCUGGAAGCCACAAGUCGCUCACCGAACAGUGGGCUACUGCAGGGCUACUUCCAGUCAGCAAAGUAGACUGCGCGGAACAGAGGCAGGUAGGCUAGCUAUUUUGGCCGUUGCCGAUUACGUCUCGCUGGCCUAUUGCAUACGUAGUAGGGGAGGGGGGCGGAAAAUUCUUAAGCGUAUGGUCGUACUCAAAACGCGCAAGUCCGCCGCUCACGCACUCCUCGCUCAGGCACCUGCGAGCUGCACGGCCGCUCGAAUUCAUUUCUGGGUUCAGUUUUUGGGCGGGCGGAGGGUUCUGGAAUCAGUCAAUGAGUGCGUGGGCUGAGGAAAGCCCCCUCGCGGAGCGUAGGCGCGCCUGUCAGUUCUCGCUGCCUGGCUGGUACGUCAGAGGUAGAGAGCGACGCCUCCUCUUUGCUAAAUGCGUCAGACAGAAUAUCAUCUCACCGUCAGAGCCCUUUUAUUGGAUGACAAAAUAAAACCUGAUAAUAAAUAAAAAAAAACACCUAUAACAGUCAGCACUAGGGUUCGAAUUACGGGGAGGAUUUGGGGGUGUCUGACCCCCCUAAUUAAGACUUGGACCCCCCCAAAAGAGGUAAAAACAGCAGGUUGGGGGGGGGGGGGGGGGCGGGGAAACCUGUAUAUAACCUUCUUCCCUGUAAUCGUAAAUAUUACAAUAUAAUUCCCAUCAGUGACAUCACUAGGGUUGGUGUCUAGUGACGUAAUAUGUAUUGUAUUUAUUGUAAUAUUUACGAUUACAGGUAAGAAGGAUAUAUAAAUGCAUGGGCAGGCAGCCAAGAAAAAAAUUGCACAUGUUUAUGCGUUUGUAACUACCAUAGCCAACUAAGGUGCCUGUUUCAAGCAUAUAUUAACAUCUUAAUUAGAUAUUUAAUCGCUGUGUAUGCUAGUCUAUCAAAUUUCUGAGCAUCAAAAGACAUCGUCUUAUUUUCAUGAGAUUGUGACGUACUGAUCAGCACCGGGAAGGUUUUGCUUACAUAUUGACCAUUUGAUGCUGACGAAGUGUGGUUCAUUUAAAUGCUAAUAUAUGCAUGAAACGUGCAUCCUCAUUGGCUAUGGUAGUUAGAAAAAAACAUCCAAAAUUUAUGUUUUCAGAAGUCAUUUCUUGCCAUGCCCAGAAGUUAAUUUAAAAAAAACUGUCAAAGCAAACUGGUUAAAAUAUGUUACCCCCUGUGGAAGUAUGCUUCUCCUGUAUUCUUUUAAUGUUCAUAUAUCUUUUAAAUUUCUUCUAUUGAAGAUUGUAUUGAUCAAGAAAAUAGUUAAAUGUAUGUGAUUAUGUGAAGAUCGAACAGCAGGUUUUCUAUGUUAUGUCUAAGAAUUUGUAACUAAGGAAAGACUGUGGCCUCUUUGUACACUGAUGCAUACAAUCAAUCAAUCAAUUUUAUUUGCAUAGCACUUUUAACAAAGGAGCUUUGUCACAAAGCAGCUUUACAGAGAACCGGCCCCCAAAGAGCAAGCCUAGGGCAACAGUGGCAAGGAGAAACUCCCUGACUGAUAACAGGAAGAAGCCUUGAGCAGAACCGGACUCAGAGGGGGAACCCAUCUGCCGCGGGCAGGCUCCGGUUUGUUUGUUUUGAAAAUCGUAAACAUUUACUUGAAAUUUUGUAAGUAAUUUAUGUUGGGAAACAGUCUUGUGCAGAAGACCUUUGAGUUGCAAGAGAAGAGAAAGAACUGUUUUGCUAUGUCUAGUUACUGCAUAAUUAUAUUCUGUCAAAAUGAAUAAAAUCAAAUUAAUAACAGCAACAGUAAAAAUAUAAACAUAUUCUGUUAGAACAUGCUGGUGUGUUUGUAUAUGAGUUAAAUGUUUCAUUUGGAUUACAGCAUGUAUUGAAUGCAUUUAAAGUGCAUGUACUUUGGAACUGGAAGAUUAAACAAUUGUUAAUCAUGAGAACAUAUACUUGUUUUUCAAGUCACGCAUAUACAUACCUCUGUAAGUGUGUGGUGAAAUAUCUGUCAUUUAUUAAAAUUGAAAACUAUAUAAUAGUUAUUGUUAAACUAGCUGGUGAAACAUAAGUGUGACCUAGGCUGGGAUUGGUUGUUUUAGAGGGAAGAUACAUCAUGGUAGAAGGAGAUCUGAUUGUAUAAAAAAGGAUGUAAAACGUAAUUCGAAGAAGCUCUCUGUGUGUCUUUAUGGUACUGGAGACCUCCCGUAGGCCUGCGUAAAAUAAAAAGAUUAUUAGAAGAAAAUAAAAGAUAAUUAGAAGAAAUCAUUGUUUCUAGUCUUUCUUCUUACAUCGCUGACUCACCCAUCGAACCUAGGAGGAGGUUUUCCUCCACACCCCCAAUGGCCAACAAUACAUCGGCUCAUGUUCACCCUCAGUAGGACUAAUGAUGCCACAGGUAGCGUGUCACAGGUAGUGUGACACAGGUAGGGUGACGCAGGUAGGGUGUGUGAGGUUUCCUGUCUUUCCCUCUGUGAGCCACCAGAGGGAGACAUAGCCCCCACAGUUUCUCUCUGGGACUCACACCAGGAUUCUGGAAAAUGCCCAUUGUGUUGUGUAAUGAGUCUCACCUGUCGUUCAUUGUUAAUAUCACCUGUGUCUUGUUAAGUUCUGUGUAUUUAAGCCCUGUCCUUUUGUUUUCAAGUACUCGGGUAUUCGAGUUUGAGCUCGCUAAGUUUGUGUAGCAGUCUUGUUGUUUGUUCUCAGUGCUUUUGACCGUUUUGCCUGACUUUCUGAAUUCUUAUUUUUUGGACUUUCCUCUUUGUACCUUCGCCUGUGUUUAUGGACUGAUCCUGGUUAUGACCUUAUGCCUGUUUUUUUCGACAAUCCCUCAAGUAAAGUUUUCACAACCUUUUCAAUCAUCUGUUUUGUGUGGUUACUGUGCAAUUGGAUUCACUCUUGUUAACCAAGCCCUCCCAGUGGUCCAGGGGAAAUUACCAAAACCAAAAGGACCAAAGCGCCUGGAUUUAUUUAUUUUGCUCAGAUUCUGCAGAUACAAAGACGGCUGUCUGCCAUGCUGGGCGGUUCAAAUAUCUCGUCCUAGUUCACAAGGAAAACUGCUGCCGUCUCGGGAAAACUGGAGCUUGUGAUCACCUACACGUGAGUGUUCUUUUGGGAAACUGCUCCCAUCUUGGAUCAACUGGAGCUUGUGAUCACCUACAUGUGAGUGUUCUUUUGGGAAACUGCUCCCAUCUUGGAUCAACUGGAGCUUGCGAUCACCUACAUGUGAGUGUUCUUUUGGGAAACUGCUCCCAUCUUGGAUCAACUGGAGCUUGUGAUCACCUACAUUCAGGAUCACGGAGGCAAAGGGGCAAGCGGAGCAGCCCCAGACGUCCCUCUCCCCAGCGACUUCUGCUAACUCAUCCCGGUGGAUCCCCAGGCGAUCCCAGGCCAGCCUUUGGAUAUAAUCCCUCCAGCGUGUCCUAGGCCUACCCCUGGUGUCUCACCGGUGGCCAGCCCGAACACCUCCAGAGGGAGGUGCCCAGGAGGCAUCCUUAUCAGAUGCCCGAACCACCUCAACCGACUUCUUUCAAUGCAGAGGAGCAGCGGUUCUACUCUGAGGUCCUCCCGGACAGCUGAGCUCCUCACCCUGUCGAGGAGAGUAAGCCCUGCGACCCUACGGAGAAACCCCGUUUCGGCUGCUUGUAUAUGGGAUCUCGCUCUUUCGGUCACUAUCCAUAGCUCGGGACCGCAGGCGAGAGCAGGAACGAAGAUCACAUGACCAUAACAAGAUGUACAAUGCAUGCAUAUUUUUAAGGGAAAGCUUUAUUUAUUUUUUUUAAAUGACCGCAGACAUUUUGUAUUAUUGCAUUUAUGAUAUUUACUUUGUUUUUAAGUCAUUUCAAAUGAGUAAAUAGAUUUUAACAAAUAUGCCUAUGGCUUCAAUUAUGCUUUAGGGCCCAAAUUAGGGAUCAGCUAGGGUUACAGUUUGGAAAACUGUAGCAUGGGUACAUAUGAUGAUUAAAAGAUAUAUAAUGUAUGCAAUUUUUUCAGGGAAAAAUGUUUUAAUGACCUCAAACAUAUUAUUUUGCAUUUGUAUUAUUGUAUUCAUGAUAUUUACUUAGUUUUUAAACUAUUUCAAAUGAGUAAUCAGAUGUUUUCAGAAGGUAACGAUGGCUUCAAUUAGGUUUUAUGGCUCAAAUCAGGGUUCAGCUAGUGUUAGGAAAAUGAUGAAGGUUACAGCUGAGUAAGAAUUAGAGUUGUUUUCAGGAGCUUGUGCAAAGGUCAUUGUAAGAAUGAGUAAUUGUUUUUGGAUGAUAAAAUGGUUUCUCUAGUGGGAUGUAACAUGUUAGCAAAAUAAUUGGAUAGUUAAGUGAAAUGCUGUAUUCAAUAUAAAUGACUUUUGACACAGCACUUUGUAUUUCUAUUAUUGCAUUGACAAUAUUUCAAUUGUACUUCAAUUAAUUGUAAUGGAAAAACAAGAUAUUUACUGUAUGAUAACUAUAAGAGAAAAUAUGACAUCCAAAAAAGACAAAACAUACCAAUAAUUUAUAAAUUAAAUAUUUUCAUUCCGAUGGAUGAGAAAUAAGUUGUUUAACUACUAAAGUGAAAAAAAAAACAAAUAAAAAUACUUUUUAACAAGGAACAUGAACAUACGUAAGCAAAAUACAAUGGAAAAAUGGAAAGAAAUUCGAUUUUUUAAAUUAUUAUAUCUCAGAUGGAUUGAAAAUAAUGUUUAGACAACCACGGUGAUGAAAUAAUUUAUUUAAAUCAGUUUAAAGACAUUUCUGAUGAACAAUGUGUUUCACUGGAAAAUCAGUGAUUGGGAAAUAAUGUUAAUUCAACUACUGUGGUGAAAUAAAUGAUGAAAAAUAUUUUAAAGACAUUUAUGAUAAAAAAUUUAUUUCAGUGAAAGAUCAGUAAAAUACUUAUACUUAUAAAAUUCUUAUAUAAAUAAAGAAAAAAAUGCAAAUAUUUUCUUUUCUACUUUUUUAAUAUAGAUGGAUGAGAAGUUAUUUGUAUACAACGACUGUGGUGAUAUAAAUGAUGAAAAAUAAUUAAAAUGUUUAUGAUAGAAUCUGUUUAAUUAUCUAAAAAAUACAUAAGACUACAUAUAGUCUUAUAUCAAUAAAGAUAAAAACUGCAAAAAUCUUCUAUUUUACAUUUUUUUUAUAAUAGAUGGAUGUGAAAUAAUGUUUAUACAACUACUGUGGUGAAAUUAAUGAUGAAAAAUAUUUUUUAAGGAGUUUAUGAUGAAAAAUCUAUUUCUGUGAAUUAUCAGCAUAAUACAUAAGACUAUAUUUUUAUGCCUUACCUAUAAAAACUGAAAAAAAGUAAAUAUUAUCUAUCUUAAAUUUUUUGAUACGGAAGGAUGGAUAAAAUGUUCUUACAACUACUGUGGUGACAUAAAUGAUGAAAAACAAAUUUUAAGAUGUUUAAAAUGAAAGAAUCUAUUUCAGGGAAAUAUCUGCAAAAUACUUAAGACUAUUGUCUUAUGUCUUAUGUUUGAAAAGUGAUAAAAUGCAAAUAUUCCCCAAAAAAAUAAAAAAUUAUUGAUCUUUACAUUCUGAUGAACAAUGUGUUUCACGGGAAAAUCAGUGAUGAUAGUCUUGUAUAAAUAGAGAUUUUAAAAAUGCAAAAAUCGUCUAUUUUACAUUUUUUAUAAUGGAUGGGAAAUAAUGUUAAUCCAACUACUGUGGUGAAAUAAAUAAUGAAAAAUAUUUUUAAAGACAUUUAUGAUUAAACAUCUAUUUCAGUGAAAGAUCAGUAAAAUACAUAAGGCUAUAGUCAUAUAUAAAUAAUGAGAAAAAAUACAAAUAUUUUCUAUUUUGCAUUUGUUAAUAUAGAAGGAUGAAAAAUAUUUUUUAUCCAACUACUGUGGUGAAAUAAAUGAUGAAAUAUAAUUAUAAGACAUUAAUGAUAAAACAAAUCUAUUUCAGUGAAAGAUCAGUAAAAUACAUAAGACUAUAGUUUUAUAUAAAUAUAGAGAUAAAAUGCAAAUAUUUUCUAUUUUGCAUUUUUUAAUAUAGAAGGAUGGAAAAUAAUGUUUAUACAACUACUGUGGUGAAAUAAAUGAUGAAAAAUAUUUUUUAAAGACAUUUAUGAUAAAAAAAAUUAUUUCAGUGAACGAUCAGUAAAAUACAUAAGACUAUAGUCUUAUAUAAAUAAAGAGAAAAAAUGCAAAUAUUUUCAAUUUUGCAUUUUUUAAUAUAGAUGGAUGGAAAUAAUGUUUAUCCAACUACUGUGGUGAAAUAAAUGAUGAAAUAUAUAAUUAUAAGACAUUAAUGAUAAAAAAUCUAUUUCAGUGAAAGAUCAGUAAAAUACAUAAGACUAUAGUUUUAUAUAAAUAAAGAGAUAAAAUGAAAAUAUUUUCUAUUUUACUUUUUUAAUAUAGAUGGAUGGGAACUUAUUUGUAUACAACUACUGUGGUGAUAUAAAUGAUGAAAAAUAAUUAAGAUGUUUAUGAUUAUAGAAUCUUUUUAGUUAUCUAAAAAUACAUAAGACUACAUAUAGUCUUAUAUCAAUAAAGAAAAAAAGAAAAAAUCUUCUAUUUUACAUUUUUUUAUAAUAGAUGGAUGUGAAAUAAUGUUUAUACAACUACUGUGGUGAAAUUAAUGAUGAAAAAUAAGUUUACGGUGAAAAAUCUAUUUCAGUGAAUUAUCAGCAAAAUACAUAAGACUAUAUUCUUAUGCCUUAUCUAUGAAAACUGAAAAAAAGUAAAAAUUAUCUAUCAUAAUUUUUUUGAUACGGAUGGAUGGAUGGAUAAAAUGUUCUUAUAACUACUGUGGUGACAUAAGUGAUGAAAAACAAAUUUUAAGAUGUUUAUAAUGCAAGAAUCUAUUUCAGGGAAAUAUCUGCAAAAUACAUAAGACUAUUGUCUUAUGUCUUAUGUUUGAAAAGUGAUAAAAUGCAAAUAUUUCCCAAAAAAAAAAAAAUUAUUCUGAUGAGACAGCAUAUUUAUUUCACAGUCAUGGUGAAAUAAAUGAAUAAAAAUGUGUUUGGGACGUCUAUGAUCAAUUAUUUAUUUCAUUUGCCAAACAGCCAAAUUACUAUAAUCUGAUGUCCAAGAACUGAAAGAAAAUGCAGAAAUCCAAAAUAGAUUAAUUACAUUUAUUACGUUCAGAUGAAUGAGAAAUCAUGUUUAUUCAACAACCACAAUGAAUUAAAUCAAUUAUGAGACUUUUUCAGAUACAUUUUGAUUAUGUUUUUUUUUAUUUUGGAUCAACAGCAAAUGAUUGUAGUCUCAUAUGCAAAACAUGAAAAAAAUGCUAAAAUCUAAAAUGAUCAAUUCAAUUAUCACAUUCAAUUAUUACAUUACAUAUUCAAUGAUUGCAUUCAUCUUUAUUCAACAAACAUGGAGGAGUAAAUAAUUGUGUUUUUGGGAUAUCUAUAAUGAAUACACCAUUUCACUGGCAAAAGAGGAUAUUUUUAACUAUAUGUCUGAUGUCAAAAAGCUAUUGAGCUUUACUUUCAGUUGAAUGAGAAAUCAUUUUUAUUUAACAACCACAGUAAUGGAAUCAUAAUUUGUUUUGGGGUAUUUCUAGUUAAUUAUCUAUUUCACUGGGAGACCAGUAAAAUACCUAACACUAUAGUUUUAGAUUUAAAAAUGUGGAAAAUUGCUAAAACACAGAAUUAUUCAGCUUUUACAUUCAGAUGAAUGAGAAGUCAUUUUUAUUCAACAACCAUGGUGAAAUAAAUAACGUGACAUUUACUAUCCACAAUCUGUUUCACUGGGAAAAGUGCAUGAGAUUAUAUACAGUCUUAUAUCCAAAAAGUUCAUAAAAUUUUACAUAGACUGUCAGACGAAUGAUGAAUUGUCUUUAUUCAACAACCAUGGUGAAAUAAAUUCGAAUGCAUUUUGAGGCAGUUAUGGUGAAGAAUCCUGAUACCGGGAGGACAUGCAAACUCCACACAGGGAGGAUCAAAAAACCCGCAACCUCCGUUUUCCGAGACAACAGCACUAACCACAGCCCCACCUUGCCACCGUAGCAAUAAAAAGAAAAAGGUAAUAAUUACAUCGAUUAAGUGUACAUUCAAAUAACAUAAAUCCAUUGUAUCAAACCCAGUUUACCCAGUACAUGCAUACAGAGAUAAAAUACUCCGUAAAACAUUUAAAAAAACAUUAAAAACUUUCUACAAAAGUAGUGUUCUACUUAAAUCAACGUUAUGUAGCAUUUCUCAUGCUUAUGUGUUGCUUUAGCGAUGAUGUACUGUUUACUUUUCCCAGAGGACAUUCCAUUGUAGUGUUUGAAUGUUAUUGCAUAUUCUCUAUUGCUGUUGGUAGGAGCUAUAUUUUGGGUAUUUUACUGGGUGGGUUAUAAAUGAGUAUUUGUUUUGUUUUUUUGUUUGAGAUGUGUGAUGCAGAUUGGGUAAUUUGGGGAUGAAGUGCUGUUGAAUGUUAAAGGUACAAAGACAUAUUUGUUUGAAGAUUUUUUGUUUGUGAUUAAAAAUCAAUUUCACUGGAAAAACACUGCACUACAUACACAUAUAUGCUUUUGUCCACACUGUAUUGUAUUCUCCAUUCUUUUGAACCAAAUAAUAUAUUUAUUUCUUCCACUCACCGCAACAACAUGGCUGACUUUUAAUCUCGUGCCAGAAACCACUGAAUGAAUCGGACAGCACUUAUUGCAACCGUAACACUCGUUUGAAUUUUUCAGUACGUGCACAUCAUCAUAACUCCGGUCCCGUUCGUUCCUUGAGACUUGAAUGUAACCUCCAAAAGAUUGCGUAGCCCUCUUCCUGUAAAACAAACAUGCCUGUGGACUUAGUGGAUUAAAAAAAAUCAUUUUA